GUGCCAGCAGCCGCGGUAACACGUAGGGUGCAAGCGUUGUCCGGAUUCAUUGGGCGUAAAGGGCUAGUAGGCGGCUUAGCAAGUCGGGUGUGAAAUCUCCAGGCUUAACCUGGAAUCGCCAUCCGAUACUGCUAUGGCUUGAGUCCGGUAGGGGACCACGGAAUUCCUGGUGUAGCGGUGAAAUGCGCAGAUAUCAGGAGGAACACCGAUGGCGAAGGCAGUGGUCUGGGCCGGCACUGACGCUGAAUAGCGAAAGCGUGGGUAGCGAACAGGAUUAGAUACCCUGGUAGUCC
rnacentral:rRNA from 1 species